rnacentral:rRNA from 1 species
UAGGGAAUAUUGCUCAAUGGGCGAGAGCCUGAACCAGCCAAGUCGCGUGAGGGAAGACGGCCCUAUGGGUUGUAAACCUCUUUUGCCGGGGAGCAAAGCGCCGCACGUGUGCGGCUUGGAGAGUACCCGGAGAAAAGCAACGGCUAACUACGUGCCAGCAGCCGCGGUAAUACGUAGGUUGCGAGCGUUGUCCGGAAUUACUGGGUGUAAAGGGCGUGUAGGCGGAGCUGCAAGUCAGAUGUGAAAUGUCAUGGCUCAACCAUGGAACUGCAUUUGAAACUGUGGCCCUUGAGUAUCGGAGAGGCAAGCGGAAUUCCUAGUGUAGCGGUGAAAUGCGUAGAUAUUAGGAGGAACACCAGUGGCGAAGGCGGCUUGCUGGACGACAACUGACGCUGAGGCGCGAAAAGCGUGGGGAGCAAACAGGAUUAGAUACC